rnacentral:rRNA from 1 species
UACGUAGGGUGCAAGCGUUGUCCGGAAUUAUUGGGCGUAAAGAGCUCGUAGGCGGUUUGUCGCGUCUGCUGUGAAAACGCGAGGCUCAACCUCGCGCCUGCAGUGGGUACGGGCAGACUAGAGUGCGGUAGGGGAGAUUGGAAUUCCUGGUGUAGCGGUGGAAUGCGCAGAUAUCAGGAGGGACACCGAUGGCGAAGGCAGAUCUCUGGGCCGUAACUGACGCUGAGGAGCGAAAGCGUGGGGAGCAAACAGG